GAAAAACCUUGUGUUGAUUGGCUCACACAAGGUGUGACUCUGCUGUGUUGCUGAAAGGGCUUUGGACUUGGACUUAAGGCCAGAAGGAGGUGCUCGUGGCAGGGCUAUAGGUGUUGAAUUCAAGCUGGAAGAAAUCUAAAUACAGCACUACAUUUGUCAUGCUAUGGUUUCUGAUCAGAGACUUGUGCUAGCUGAAUCAGUGGGUGUGGUAUUUCCCAUGGAGAAAGGAGCAACAGGUGUUGAACUGUUUAUGUGAUGUCGCUAUUAGAGGAGCUAUGUGACAUGAUAUGUUUCAUUGGCUUCUCUCACCCCCUUUCAUGUGUGUACACACAGAGAGAUUUCAGUCAAACCUCUUAUCUGAAUUUGAGUUAAUUGAAAAUCUGGGACCCAGAGGAAUCAAUCCCACAGGUCAUGUGAAGAUUGGCUCUAUCCCCUGAAAAUUCAGCCUCAUGGAGCUCCUAUGCUAAAUUCUGCAGGGCCUGAGCUUUCAUCCUGCUGAGUGUAGGAGCUCCAAAGACUAAAUUGCACAAAAUCUCAACCCUGCAUUGCACAGCUCUGCAGGACCAGAGCUCUUGUUCCAGUGAGCCCACCAGAGCACUAAAGUCUACAUAACUGCAAGUCUUACAUCACUGAACUUCUAAGCUCCGCAGUACUGGAGUAAACUUCAGGAAGCUCCUAAUCACUGCAGGAGUGGAGCUACAGAGCAGUUGCUGAGUUGCUAGUAUCAUGACCCAGAGUACAGUUCUCAAACAAAGCCUUCUGAAAGUACCAAAGACUGUUGGAUACCUGAUUGUCUACUGAGCAGUGCAAGGUGUGUUUGUUUUU